CCUCUUUUGAUGCCUUAGGUCUUUCUUCAGAGUAAUUCACAAGUGAAAUUUACCCCCCGAGCAAUUGCAAGGAUACUGCAUGGACUUGCUAGCCCGGCCUUUCCUGCUGCUAUUUGGUCAAGAACCCAUUUUUGGUAAUGUGGCAACAAAAUUAAUAUAUGGUUUGAUCAAUGGUUCUUAAUUUUAUCAUUUUAAGUAUAACCUAGAUUUGCAUUUAACUUGAAAAACGUGAUGCAGUGAUAUUAUCUUUGCAUGAAAUAGAGGGUUUAAAUGAUUCUUUAAAAUCGAGAAAUGUUGUAAAAUAUGAGACAUUUUUCAAGAAUCCACUCGUAUGGUUGACUGCUCUGUAUAUGGUAUCUCUCUCAGAGGUCGACACUGAUGCAUGUAUUGUAGGGAUCAUUGGAUCAUAGAUUAAAAAAUAAGCUGAAAUUGUGUGGAUUAUACUGUCUUUUCAUUUAUAUGAUCUCAAAUUUCCUGGCUGGAUUUUAGGGGAAGGUAUCAACAGAUAGACUUUAAAGUAGUGAUGGAAGCGGCAAAGGGAGAGCUCAUUAGUAUGGUCGGCAAGGAUGUAAUUUAGCUAUUUCUUUCUCGAGAGAAUGUCAUUUAUAACAACAAAUAGGGAGAACACAAUAUUGCGCGGUUACAGUUGGCUAAUCUUAGUAAGUCUUCCUACUUCGUCAUCUGUUUUUGUUUGGAAAUUUAAUGCAAAUGUUCGUUCCUUUCUCUUCCCUUUUCUUUCCAGUGCACGCAAUGCUGCCUGUGGGACUUCCGGUGCUAAAGUUUUGACAGGUAUAAUGCAAUAGUUGUAUUGAAUGUACAUAAUGAUUUAUAUGCACAUAAUGUAGUGAGAUAUGAUUCGAUUUUUUCAAUCAGAUAAUUUUUCCUCUAUUUUUGAAACCUCGUUUUUCUGUAAACAAUUAUGUAACUCUUAUGUACAACUAGCAUUAUCCAUAAUACAAUUGGGGAUGAGAUAGGCUACUUACAUGUCAAUACCUUGACAUGUGUAUGCUUAGAUUGUGCAAAUAUUCCUACUGUAUAAGUUUAUAAAAAGAUUUGUGUGUCAGAGAUGGUGGACAUUUGAAUCUUAUUUUAUAUCAUUGUCAAAACAUGCAGUGACAAAAGUAUGCGGAUCUCAUAUGUGAAUCAAUAUAAAUGUAUGUAUUUUUGGUUCUUAUACAUUCGAUUGAUUAUUGUAGUUAUAAGAAGAUGUUACGGCUUAACCUAUAAUAUCUACUUGCAGGUGAAAGUCGAAAGAUUGAUCAACUCACAGCGAAGAAAAGAAUAUCCAUAGAGAAGCUUGUCAUUGCUAAUAUUAUAAUAAACAUAUAUUUUCAUAUGUUGUAAAUCUCACGGUUAUGUAAAAUUAUUGAUGAUUUUUUCAUUAAGUGUUAUCUUUCUUUUGAACUUUUA
rnacentral:lncRNA from 1 species